GUUGUUUACUGAAUUCUUACAAAAUCAGUUGCCGCUAAUUUCAUAGUUUAAAGAGAUUGAUGCAUGCGGAAGGCAAUUUUUAAACGCAUUAAGAACCAACAUGAUUCGGUCAUAACGCUUACGAAAAACGAAUGUAAAUGUUAUGAAUCUGUAUGAAACAUGAGACCAAUCAAAUUGGAGUCCAAGACAUAUACAAUGUACAUGUACGUUUAGUACUUGCACUAAUUUUCAUUAAAAUACAAAAAAAAAUGAUUGACAAAAUAUAUACAUGCUAUACUAAAUUGAGGUUAGAGACUCAUGCAACUGUAUGAAUUUUUUAUUUAUGUCUCUAGCAUUGAGGGAGGUACAUUUGUUGUAAUUUAUACAAACAGUAAAAACAUAAGAAAAGAUAACACAUUCCAUUGGAAUCUUAAUGGCCAAAUCCAGAAGCUUUCUGACCUUGCCAAAUAUUGAAAGUAUUAAUAGUAAACCCCAAGUUCAAUUUUUUGUCACUGCGUAAUUCUGAUUUUUUUUUCAUUAAUUUAAUAUGAAUAUGCCUUGCCUCGUAUACUGCAAUACAAAAGUCCUCACGGUAUGAUCUUUUAAAAGGCUAUAUUAGUUUUGGUUGCCUUACCACUACAAAAAGAAUGGCCGUGAUGUGUAUCUCUGAAUGAUCAACAAUGGUUUGAUUUUUGAUGCGUUUUAUUAUUUGAUUUUGCUAUGUGAUUAUAUACUUUCCGAAUUGAUUUUCCUCUAAGUUCAGUAUUUUUGUGAUUUUACCUUUGACAUGUGAAAUGGAACAAAUAAUAUCAUGUUUUUGCACUAUGAUUUUGAACUACUGUACAUUUAUAUUAAUUAAAUAUAGAUCAAUAAAAGACACCAUACAUGCCUUAUAAUCAUUGUUUAAUAAAGGAAGAAUAUUAACGUGUACCUAAUAGUACUGCAACCAGAGUUCAUUUUUUAAAACUUUAAUGGUCCGGAAGAACACACACCUAAAUUAUAUAUCGAUGGAAAGAGGACAACGUGUACAAUAAGAAAAGUUGGGUCGUAAAAAUCCAGAGUGGUCACAAUUUUGUGAAAUUGAGGUCAAAGGUCAGACCUAAAAAUAUCAAUAUUUCAAACACAAGAACAAAAAGGAGAAAUAUUCUGAUAUUCAUUCAAUAGAAUGCUACAAAAACGAUUCAAUCAUAAGCACAUGCUAUAAACGAUGUUAAAACGACAAAUUUGACUAAUUAUAUGAAGAGCUGCCAUUACAAAAUGGCGUUGAUUUGGAACCUUCUAAUUUUUUUCCAUUUAAGACAUAGCAAAAGAAGAAGUGGCCUUGACCUUUUCACAUCCAUAAACUUUCAUAUUGUGUAUAGUAUUUCACUAUAGUAUAUUACAGAAUUAUUUUCUAAAGUAUAAAAACCAGUUUAUCAAUUAUUUCAAUAUUUUUUCUAUCUUUGAAAAAAACAAAUUUAACCGCUGAAACAGUGUUUUUAAUUUUGCAUCUUAAAGGUUGUGUAUUUUGUGAAAAUUAGUAUCUAGUUAUAGAUAAAUACAUAUUGUGUAUUUGCAAAGUCUGGACAGAGCAUUAAUAACACAAGAUAUACUAUAGUCACCCUAGGCGAAUGCGAGGUUUUAAAAAAAAUUGAGUGUAAAAACAAAGUCAGUUUGGUACAUGAACAUUUUUUAGUAGGAUAAUCCUGGUAAAAAAGUUAACUCAUUGAUUUUUUAAGGGAAGGAUGAAAAAUUAUACAAUGCAAUGCCAAUUUUCUAAUGUUGUAAUUCAAAUUCAGUCAUGAUCCUUAUAUAACUUUUAUAAGCGACACACAAUAGCUCAAGUAUUAAUAGAAUAGGGACAUGAAUCAAUCUCUUAGUCAUCAUAUGCGGAUUCAGUACUCGUAUUAGCAUUACAAGACACUUCCCUUUUUUAUAAGAACAAGUUCGGCGCAUGACAGAGUUUGUUCAAAUCAAAUACAGUUUUUUUUAGUACAAAUGCUAUCUGGAGCGUAAAUACCGUCAUGAUUUGGUCAAACUCGUCAGAUAUAGUCUUCCCUUUGCAUAGGAAACACAAAAGAAAUGUGAGUACAAAGUUUCGAUCAAUGUUCGUGGCCCAUAUUCCCAUAUGCAUAUGCAUGAUGUAUCUGCACUGCCAGUCCCAAAUGUAAAGGGGCGAAUGUUGCUACAGAAACGAUUGAUUUUGUAAUAGCCAUACAUUUACGAAUUUUUGUUAUCUUUAGGGACAAUAUACGGUUAUUUUUCAUCGAUUAACUAUCAAAUGAACUUUUGAGCCUAGGCUCUGUGUUGAAGACCGGACCGUGACCUAUAAUGGUUUACUUUUAUAAUUGUGACUUGGAUGGUGUGUUGUAUCAUUGGCACUCAUACCACAUCUUCCUAUAUCUAUUAACAAGCUAUGCGGGCAUCAUUUCCAUAGAAAUACCAAAACAAGGACAUAGCUCAUUAGACCACUGGUGUAAUUCUGAAAGUCUUAAUAUAGACUUCAAUUUUCCUGCAGCAGAUAUGGCAUCCCUAAAUUGAGUUCAGAGCUAAACUCUAUAUUCAUAUCCCUUGGCCCACUGUGUCUGAAUUGUAAGGUGUCACAAUAUUUAGUUAGUUCUGGAGUUUGGCAGUUUGGUAAGCAUCAGAGACAAUCUUGGGUAAAAUUGAUCGGUAUAUAUAGAGGAUGUGCUACAUGAGAAAGGCUUUUUCUUAUGAAAAAACAAAUCACAUUACUAACAAUCGUUAUUAAUGAACUGACAGCAAGUUCAAAUUCUAUUUUUUCAGUGAUUGUUUUACUUAAUUGCACAGGUGUUGACUUCAAUAAGUACUUGGUAAUGCAUGGAUAAAUGAUUACUCACAUUAAUAAGCACAACUUAAAAGACUGUUAACACGUUUAGAGGACUCAGUUUUGCGUAGUUUUCUGUUUUUUUUAAAGGUUUUUCUUUUACACAAAAACCCUGUUUUCAUAUCCAAACUACAAGGAAGAAACUGAGCGCGAAAUCGUAUAAAAGUGUCAGGUUGUGAGGUUACAUGUCGAUCAGUUUGAUCACAUAUAUGGAUUUCUGUUGUUUCUAAUUUAAAGUUCCCCAAGGGUGACUGGGGAAACGAAAUAUGGUCACUUGGUCUUCCCCCGACCGGCAGUAAAACGAAGUUGGGCGUCCGUUUGGCUGUACGGGAUGUAUCAAGUUCGCAGUCACGUCCGGUCAGAAUGGGGACGUUAAAUCCGCUGCCUCAUGUAAAGGGAGUGUCACGUUCUUUGCACGUUAAAAACCUUUGCAUCAACUCUUUAAGGGGUCCGUAGGUGGCAUGUUGCAAUGGAAAAUUUCUGUCCCAAUCCAAUAUCCCAUCAUUUUCCAGUGGCAGUCUAAAUAUUCCCGAUCAUCAUUUCGAAUGGCCUCUACUAUGACAAAACCUACCUAUUGUUUUUAUUGUUAGCUUGUUCUCGUCCUGAACAUGCAUGAAAUAUUUGCCACUGGACUUUACGCAACCAACAAUCAAUCAAUCAAUUUAAUUUAAAGACGCACCAAUUUUGCCGUCUGGUGCAAGUCUCAUAACAUCACUGAUGAUUCGCCCACGGAAAGCAGAAUAUCAAGAGAAGUUGGUUUUAGCAAUACCUUGCCACACACCAAAUCUCUGCGAAACUUCAAUAGUACUUUCCCCCCGACCGCUUGCAUGCAUAUUAAUUGCUCUGAGGUUAAACAUUGACAUACAAUGUAUUUUCACACAAUGUCAACUAUAGUCAUUAUCCGGAAAAACCUCUUAUCCGAAGGAUUUGGUUAACUUUUAUAUAAAGUCAAAAUUUUAUCAACAAAAAUAUAACUUAUUUACAGAAAAUACACGAAAGAACUACUAUAUAUAUUCAAAUCACUCAAAAAUAAAUUAACUUCUCCUACAAAAUCUACAUAAUCACAUCGAAAUUAUCAAAUUGAUUGUGAAUGAAAAAAUAAAUGGUGGAGCUGAUUGACGGAUAGGAAAUUUCCGUAAUUAAAAAAGGUACAAAUGAUGUUUUUAUUUUUGAGUUUUUGACAAAAUUGUUUGGAAUGUGCCCAACAAAAUUUGCAUGCAGUAUCGCAAUAAUAUGUUGUGUCCUCUCAAAUGUCAAAUACUGUUUUUGAAUCAUAUGUUUUCUCGUUUUCAAAGAAAAACGCGUUAAAUUUCUAUCUAAAAAACAGCCAACUUUAAGUUUAAGUUUUACUUGGAAAUGGUAUAAUAUUUAUGUCUUCAUCAUACCGAUGAUCCUUGAUGAUAUGUGCAUAGAAAAUAUUUACGAAAAUAGCGGGAAAUUUAACCAAAAAUAUUUUUUGGAUUUUAAGGUAACUACUCAAAACCGUAAAUUGAGGGGUACCCCCAUUAAAGGGAUAAAAUACAAAAAUGUGACCAUAGAAACUUUUUACGACCCGACGGAAAUUAAAAUAUAGAUAUUAUUCUAUCAUUUAAAACAAUUUGCAGCCGUGUGUUAUUCCGGACCAUUAAACUCGUUAACUAAGCGUCUUUUUCGAUGUCAGUUGCAGUACUAUAAAUGGGUCUGUGUUUAAUUUCUUUAAAGAUACAAACACAUUCACUAGUAACUUAAAAGUCUGAUAAGCAUGGCUUUGAAUCAGCCUCAACAUUAUCACGAAUAGUAAAUUUCAACAUUGGAAAAACUGACAAAAAGCCAUCCUAUAGGCAGCUUCUAAUACUACAUUUGUGAAAAAAGUAAUAAAC
rnacentral:lncRNA from 1 species